CUCACAGUGUCCCAGUGGCUUAAGGAAUUGACCAUAAGUUGCCAAAGAAAGUCCAACUCCUAGAGAGAAAAGUUGCUGGAGUUGAAAUUCUGAACCUUCUUUUACCAAAACGAUGCUUUGAGAAAACCUCUUCAAAUUGCCCGCCUUUAUUUACUCCUUCAUCCCCACAGUGAUGUCUGUGAGGUGAAGAGGUAACAACACCCAUAAAGUUAAAGGAAGCUCAGCUGAUUCCAUCCGUCCUGAGCCAGAGGGAAGCAACAUGACAAGUGGACCCACUGCAAACAAGGUGGCACCUGGCAUGGGCAGAAAGCUGGUUUGGUUUGAUCUCAGGUAAAUGUGGAGUCUGUUGUUGCCCUCGAAAAUCCCCCUUCC
rnacentral:lncRNA from 1 species